AAUUCUUGAUCUCCAUUAAAGCUUGUACUGCCCAAAAUCAAAAUUUAAAAAAAAAAAGAAUAAAAAUGAAAUUCUUGAUAUUUUUCUAAAUUUGAUCAAUAAAAAAGGUCUCAAAGUUUCUAACUUUAUGAGAAAUUGCAAGAACUAACCUUCAUAAUUAACACCAGCUGGAGUAAGCAUAGCAUUGGAAUAAAACAAGAAACUGAAUAAUAUCAAAAAAGCUAAAACACCAUUUAUACUUCUUGUUUCCAUUGUUUUUGAAAGUUCAAGAAACAACUAAAAACAAAGAAUAAUCAAUUCCUUUUUUUGAUGAAGAAGAGAACUUUUCAAGAAGUUGUUUGGAACUUGUUUUUUUUUUUUUUGUCUUAGUUUUUGGUGAAGAUUUCAAAUCAAACCAAAAAUGACAAAUUUUUUCAAACACAUUUGUAUUAUUGGAAAGUGGUAGAAUU
rnacentral:lncRNA from 1 species